GGCGCUAUAGCCAAGUGGUUACGGCGACAGAUUCGAAUUGUCAGUUGAAUACUGGUUAAUGUUAUCUGUUCCUCUUUGAGGGCGCAGGUUCAAAUCCUGCUGGCGUCG